UGUUGGCGCAGCAGAAGUAAUCCCCGCAGGCUUACUCUCGAGUAAGGGCGCCUGGCUGCGCAAACCCGGGGAGCCUGACAUUAAUACAAACAAUGCAGUCAUAGUUGAGAGAGGUUGUGUGUGCGGGGAGCCUAAGGUUAUCCCACCAACAAGAAUGUCCAGCAACAAAUACAACCUGAAAAAAGAGAUGACGCAUGUACUUCUGUAAACCAAGGAACCACUAUGAUCUUAGGGUGAAAUCAGCUCCUUUGAGGUGUAUAUUCUAGAUAUGCAGGCUUGAAUCUUUCUGGCCAUAGUGAGUGGUGUUGUUGUUUUUUCCCGGACAUGCUGGGUGAAGGAUGGGAACAUCCAGUCUGAUUUUUUGAUGACUGCAAUAUUCUCCGGAAAGAUUGGGUAAGCUUGUACAGUUCAGAGGAAUCUCUGGGUAUGUGGUGAUUAAUCUGUGGACUAUUCCGGAGAAGUGUUGGGAUUUGGGUGUCCUGCCCAUAAGAGUGUGUUUAUGAGGAGUGUUGAAGGAGUCCCAUCUCUUCAAAUGAAAGCACUGUGGGACACCAUUUGAUCUACUGAAAGUGACCAGAUUGUUGUUAACCAUGUGGGGAACCUGGGUAAUAAACGAUAUUCAAGCCUUCAAUUUGUUGCCCAAUACACACAAUUACGAUGCUUAAAACAAAGGUCAGACUACCUGGGUGAGAUUAUGAUGCCCUGUUAGAACCAUGUUGAGGCCUGAGAAGGAGAUCCUGCUAUAGUUUCUAAGACCAUUGCUAUUGGGAAACGAGGAUGGGUACCAGUUAGGAUUCUGACCCAUGGUGAUGCUGUGUUGCAACUGAGUGAGGUUAAGCAUAACGGACAGUUUGUACAUAAAUGCAAAGGGCAAACUUCUAAUGCCUGAAAUGCAAGCAAGCUGUGAGGAAUCAGAAGUACCAGAAUGUGCCUAUCAGUGAUGCAGAAGGAGAACUCAGAUCACAACACUUGAAGAAAAUAUGUAUAAGAACAUGAACCAUUUCUGCAGAGCAGAGACUUGAGUCAAUUAGAACUUGUCAAAGGACUUUCUCCCAGAAGCCUCUGGAUUUUGCAUGCAUUUCCCAUACUAUCCCACUGGUCCGGAAUAUAUCCUCCAGUUUGGAACAGGUUCCGUCUAAUUGCUCUUUCUUUGUACUAACCAGCUGGUGAGAUGAUGAAUAUAUAAAAUAAAUAAA